ACAUACGACCACACCCACUGGAAAACUCGGGAUCCCGUCCGCUCUCCCAUAGAUAAGCCAGUGAGGGCCGGAUUAGUAGUUGGGUCGGUGACGACCAGCGAAUACCUGGUGUUGUAUGUU
rnacentral:rRNA from 1 species